UACGAAGGCCCCAAGCGUUAUCCGGAAUUACUGGGCGUAAAGCGUUCGUAGGUGGGUGAACAAGUCAGAUGUGAAAGGUCCGGGCUCAACCCGGUACUUGCAUCCGAAACUAUUCAUCUUGAAUGAGGGAGAGGUAAGCGGAACGGUAUGAGUAGGGGUGCAAUCCGUUGAUACAUACCAGAACACCAAAAGCGAAGGCAGCUUACUGGAACUCUAUUGACACUGAGGAACGAAAGCGUGGGGAGCGAAAAGG
rnacentral:rRNA from 1 species